rnacentral:rRNA from 1 species
AUUGAACGCUGGCGGCAGGCCUAACACAUGCAAGUCGAACGGUAGCACAGAGAGCUUGCUCUCGGGUGACGAGUGGCGGACGGGUGAGUAAUGUUUGGGAAACUGCCCGAUGGAGGGGGAUGACUACUGGAAACGGUAGCUAAUACCGCAUAACGUCUUCGGACCAAAGUGGGGGACCUUCGGGCCUCACACCAUCGGAUGUGCCCAGAUGGGAUUAGCUAGUAGGUGGGGUAAUGGCUCACCUAGGCGACGAUCCCUAGCUGGUCUGAGAGGAGGACCAGCCACACUGGAACUGAGACACGGUCCAGACUCCUACGGGAGGGAGCAGUGGGGAAUAUUGCACAAUGGGCGCAAGCCUGAUGCAGCCAUGCCGCGUGUAUGAAGAAGGCCUUCGGGUUGUAAAGUACUUUCAGCGGGGAGGAAGGCGAUGGAGUUAGUAGCUUCAUCGAUUGACGUUACCCGCAGAAGAAGCACCGGCUAACUCCGUGCCAGCCGCCGCGGUAA